UACGAAGGGUGCAAGCGUUACUCGGAAUUACUGGGCGUAAAGCGUGCGUAGGUGGUUUGUUAAGUCUGUUGUGAAAGCCCCGGGCUCAACCUGGGAAUGGCAAUGGAUACUGGCAGGCUAGAGUGCGGUAGAGGGUAGUGGAAUUCCCGGUGUAGCGGUGAAAUGCGUAGAGAUCGGGAGGAACACCAGUGGCGAAGGCGGCAUCCUGGCCAUGUCCUGACGCUCAGGGGCGAAAGCGUGGGGAGCAAACCGG
rnacentral:rRNA from 1 species